rnacentral:lncRNA from 10 species
UCCCUAGCCUCCUGCUUUGCACUGCUUCAGAAGUUGGCAAACAUCUUGAGGGAAGCCUGGCUCUGUUGACACUCCUGGUCUCCAGUUUUGACAUCCUAGCCCCAACAGAUGAUGCACCUAAAGUUGAAAAGCUGACUUCCACCUCCUGGGCAACGUGGCUCAGGUUUGUGCGCAGGUCAAGACAAAACUGAUGUCAACACCAGGAAUGAAGGAGAAAUCUGUGGCUUAAUGAA